UACGUAGGUGGCAAGCGUUGUCCGGAUUUACUGGGCGUAAAGAGCGCGCAGGCGGUCGUUCAAGUCGCGUGUGAAAGCCCCCGGCUCAACUGGGGAGGGUCACGCGAUACUGAUCGACUCGAAGGCAGGAGAGGGUAGUGGAAUUCCCGGUGUAGCGGUGGAAUGCGUAGAGAUCGGGAAGAACAUCAGUGGCGAAGGCGGCCUGCUGGGCUGUUGCUGACGCUGAGGCGCGACAGCGUGGGGAGCAAACAGG
rnacentral:rRNA from 1 species